CCUACGGGAGGCAGCAGUGGGGAAUAUUGGGCAAUGGGCGCAAGCCUGACCCAGCAACGCCGCGUGAAGGAAGAAGGCUUUCGGGUUGUAAACUUCUUUUCUCAGGGACGAAGCAAGUGACGGUACCUGAGGAAUAAGCCACGGCUAAAUACGUGCCAGCAGCCGCGGUAAUACGGAGGUGACAAGCGUUCUCCGGAUUUGCUGGGUGUAAAGGGCGUGUAGGCGGGAAAGCAAGUCAGAUGUGAAAACCAGGGGCUCAACCUGUAGCCUGCAUUUGAAACUGUCUGUCUUGAGUACAGGAGAGGCAGACGGAAUUCCUGGUGUAGCGGUGAAAUGCGUAGAUAUUAGGAGGAACACCAGUGGCGAAGGCAGUCUGCUGGACAGCAACUGACGCUGAGGCGCGAAAGCGUGGGGAGCAAACAGGAUUAGAUACCCUAGUAGUC
rnacentral:rRNA from 1 species